rnacentral:rRNA from 1 species
AUUACGGAGGGGGUUAGCGUUGUUCGGAAUUACUGGGCGUAAAGCGCGCGUAGGCGGAUUAGUCAGUUAGAGGUGAAAUCCCAGGGCUCAACCCUGGAACUGCCUUUAAUACUGCUAGUCUUGAGUUCGAGAGAGGUGAGUGGAAUUCCGAGUGUAGAGGUGAAAUUCGUAGAUAUUCGGAGGAACACCAGUGGCGAAGGCGGCUCACUGGCUCGAUACUGACGCUGAGGUGCGAAAGUGUGGGGAGCAAACAGGAUUAGAUACCCUGGUAGUCCACACCGUAAACGAUGAAUGCCAGUCGUCGGCAAGCAUGCUUGUCGGUGACACACCUAACGGAUUAAGCAUUCCGCCUGGGGAGUACGGUCGCAAGAUUAAAACUCAAAGAAAUUGACGGGGCCCCGCACAAGCGGCGGAGCAUGCGGAUUAAUUCGAUGCAACGCGUAGAACCUUACCUGGGUUUGACAUGG